CGAGCGCUUUCAUGGUCAAAAGCGUCAUCGCCCGCGGAAGAGCUAGCCACGCACUCCCCCAAACAGGCCUUCCUUUUAUAGUUACGGUUUUGCUAUUUUUCAGUUGAGUGUUUUUCAAUUGGCCGUCAUUCGAAUUUGUGGUCGCCUGAUUGCGCGCUGUGAUUCGCACUUAGUUCUCUGGUUUCCUGGCGGGUUUCCUUUGUUGCUGGUUCGGUUUUCUUUCGUCAGGCGCGGUUUUUUGGUUAUGCCCGUGUCUCUUUCCCUUUUCAUUUCCCCCCUCUUGGAUUCUUCUCUGUUUGAUUUGGGCGGUACUGUUUCGAAAGGGCAGAGAGGGAGCGAAAGGAGGAGGCGCUCGAGCGGCGGAGGGACGAGGCGAUUUCAGUCUGGUUCAUGGCAGUGGCGAGAUCCCUCUCUCCUCGAGCUUGAGUGUUCUGCCCGAUUCGUUGGUUUGGUUCAGUGGGGAGUCUGUGGAAAGUAUCUCACAAGGAUGUACCCCUAGUCUCUUCUCUUGAGAGUGCUGGUUCUCUGAAUGAUCCUUUUGUUCCUAAUGAUUUUGCAGCUGAUGGUUCUCAUCCUAUGUCCUUGGAAGCUCUAGUGAUGAUGGAGGGCUUGACGAAGCUCUCUUCGACUUCUAUAUGGAUCAUAAAGUGAAAUGUUUAAAGAGGAAGUUAUCAUGUGCUGGAAAAAGAAAUGUGAGGUUGAAGCGGUCUUCUGAUUUCCCCGUUUGUUCUACUUUUCAUUGGAUAUUCAGGGAAAUUUUUCUCAGGUGUUGUCGAUGGUUUGUGUCCAACGUAUAAAGGUGUGGUCCAGGGAAGCUGCUGGGUCCAGGGAUCAGCUGGAGGUGUCUUUGUUAUUUUUGGUUUAGUUGACAACCGGGUCUGUUUUUUCCAGCCUGACCCGUUUAGUGGAUACGAGCAGAUUCAUUUUCUCGGUAGUUUUGUAGAAAUACAGGUGUCUGCAGUGGUCAGAAAAUUUGAUUGAUACCGAAUUGAAAAUCAGUCAAAUGUAAAAUAGACAGUCCCAGUUACUAUAGUUAUGUGCACUGCUUAAGUAAUAGACCCGAAUCAGUCCGUUGCUUCGGA